GUUGUAGCUCAGUGGUAGAGUUCUUGCCUAGCAUGUGUGAGACACUGGGUUUGAUUCUCAGCACCACA
rnacentral:tRNA from 1 species